GGCUUGGUGGUCUAGAGGUAUGAUUCCUUCUUAGGGUCUUGGUUCUAAUCAAGAUACAUAAAAUAGUCUGGAGGAGGUCCCGAGUUCAAUUCUCGGCCAAGCCC